GGUGAGGAAUACGUAGGAAUAUGCCUUUUAGUGGAGAAUAUGCUCAAGAAAUUGGGUUUAAUACUGCAUAAGUUCUUUAUAGAAGAAAGAUGGCCUCUUUGCUAUCGCUGAAAGAUUAGCCUACGCACUAUUAGUUAGUUGGUGAGGUAAAUGCUUACCAAGACGAUGAUAGUUAUCCGGCCUGAGAGGGUGAUCGGACACAUUGGGACUGAGAUAUGGCCCUGACUCCUACGGGAGGCAGCAGUGGGGAAUUUUGCGCAAUGGACGAAAGUCUGACGCAGCAACGCCGCGUGGAGGAGGAAGGUCUUCGGAUUGUAAACUUCUGUUGAUCGGGAAGAAAUAAUAAAAAUUAAUACUUUUUAUGGAUGACGUUACCGAUCUAGAAAGCCCCGGCUAACUUUGUGCCAGCAGCCGCGGUAAUACAAAGGGGGCAAGCGUUAUUCGGAAUUAUUGGGCGUAAAGGGCGCGUAGGCGGUGAAAUAAGUUUGUUGUUUAAUCUUUCAGCCCAACUGGAAGUAUGCAUUAAAUACUGUUUUGCUAGAGUAUGAUAGAGAUGAGUGGAAUUUUCGGAGUAGCGGUUAAAUGCGUAGAUCUCGAAAGGAACGCCAAUGGCGAAGGCAGCUCAUUGGGUCAUUACUGACGCUGAGGCGCGAAGGCGUGGGGAGCAAACAGGAUUAGAUACCCUGGUAGUCCACGCAGUAAACGAUGAUCACUAGACGUUUGGGGGUAACCCUGAGUGUCGCAGCUAACGCGAUAAGUGAU
rnacentral:rRNA from 1 species